rnacentral:rRNA from 1 species
GACGAACGCUGGCGGCGGGCCUAACACAUGCAAGUCGAACGGAAAGGCCCUGGUUAUGGGCGGUGCUCGAGGGGCGAACGGGGGAGUAACACGUGAGUAACCUGUCCCUGACUUUGGGAUAUCCUAAGGAAACUGGGGCUAAUACCGGGUAGGAGCUCCUGCUGUAUGAGGGGGGUUGGACAGAUUCGGCGGUUGGGGAUGGACCCGCGCCUUAUCAGCUUGUUGGUGGGGUAGUGGCUUACCAAGACUGUGACGGGUAGCCGGGCUGAGAGGGUGACCGGCCACACUGGACCUGGGAUGCGACCCGGCCUCCUACGCGAGGCAGAGGUGGAGAAUAGUGCACUGUGGGCUGAAGCCUGGUGCAGCGCCGCCGCGUGCGGUAUGUCGGCCUUCGCUUUGUAUUCCGCCUUCGCCUGUGCCGAAGCGUGAGUGACGGUAAUGGGUGAAGAAGCACCGGCUAACUACGUG